GCAUCGAUGGUUCAGUGGUAGAAUGCUCGCUCGCCACGCGGGCGUCUGGUUCGAUUCCCGGCCGAUGCA